GUUCGGUUUUACAUUAUUUAUAAGGCCGUAAUAAUUACGAUUUGAAAAUAAUUCAUUCCGUAUAUUUUCCCAGUUUUUCCCAUAAUUAUAGAAACAGCUUGGAGGAUUAAUAAACGAAUUUCCUUAGGUACCACUCCCUUCAGAUUCACUUUCAGGAAAAGUGCUAUACUUGAAAAUCGGAGCAAAAUUGCCUGUAGAAAAGUUGUCCACAGAAAAAAAUAAACAUCAUUGUAAAACCAAUGCAUUCCUCGAUUCACUCGAAAUCUAAAAUUGAAAAUAAUGAAAUCGUUAACAGCAAUGUGGUAUACCUUUUUCAAGGAUAUUUUUUUCCGGUUUUAACAAAAUAAUAACAAUUAUGUAAACAACUUACUAAAAUUAUAAUGUCUAUAAAUAACUCAAAAAAUGGC